CUCCCUGUAGCUAAGUUGGUUAUAGCCCUCUGCUUAUAACGGAGAAGCCCUUACAAGGUAUACGUAUGUUCGAAGCAUACCAGGGAGA
rnacentral:tRNA from 1 species